AUGAACGCUGGCGGCGUGCCUAACACAUGCAAGUCGAACGGAGUCCAGCCUUAGAGACCUUCGGGUCAAAGAGGGGAAGACUGAGUGGCGGACGGGUGAGUAACACGUGGGCAACCUGGCUCAUAGAGGGGGAUAACAGAGAGAAAUUUCUGCUAAUACCGCAUAAGCACACACUGCCGCAUGGCAGAGUGUGAAAAGAGAAUCGCUAUGAGAUGGACCCGCGUCUGAUUAGCCAGUUGGCAGGGUAAGAGCCUACCAAAGCGACGAUCAGUAGCCGAUUUGAGAGGAUGAACGGCCACAUUGGGACUGAGACACGGCCCAAACUCCUACGGGAGGCAGCAGUGGGGGAUAUUGCACAAUGGGGGGAACCCUGAUGCAGCGACGCCGCGUGAGUGAAGAAGUAUUUCGGUAUGUAAAGCUCUAUCAGCAGGGAAGAUAAUGACAGAACCUGAAUAAGAAGCCCCGGCUAACUACGUG
rnacentral:rRNA from 1 species